rnacentral:ncRNA from 1 species
ACGGGAUCGGGGGGUUCCCACCAGCGCGGCAUCCAUACGGUCGCCAGACCGGCGCGCAGGGGCCAAUGGCGAGAUCGACCCUGUCCGGU